GACGAACGCUGGCGGCGUGCUUAACACAUGCAAGUCGAACGGAAAGGCCCUGCUUUUGUGGGUUGCUCGAGUGGCGAACGGGUGAGUAACACGUGAGUAACCUGCCCUUGACUUUGGGAUAACUUCAUGAAACUGGGGCUAAUACCUGAUAGGAGCUCCUGCUUCAUGGUGGGGGUUGGAAAGUUUCGUCGGUUGGGGAUGGACUCGCGGCUUAUCAGCUUGUUGUUGGGGUAAUGGCUUACCAAGGCUUUGAGGGGUAGCCGGCCUGAGAGGGUGACCGGCCACACGGGGACGGAGACAGGGAGCAGACGCAUAAGGGAGGCAGAAGUAGGGAAUGGGACGAAAUGGGGGAGAGCCAGAAGGAGCAACGCGGCGUGAGUGAAGAAGGAUUUCGGUGAGUAAAGAGAGGUUGUUAGGGAAGAAUGGAUAUGUAGUAACAAUACAUGGAAGAGACGGUACCGAACCAGAAAGCCACGGCUAAAUACGUG
rnacentral:rRNA from 1 species